UCCGCGAUAGCUCAAUGGUAGAGCGGGUGGCUGUUAACCACUAGGUUGCAGGUUCGAGCCCUGCUCGCGGAGCCA
rnacentral:tRNA from 1 species